CAAGUGGUGUGGCACAGCUCUGACACAGACACACAAACAUACGUAGGCACACUACCCUCUGCCUGCCUCGGAGCUGGGAUGAGCACCGCCUCAUCCCUUCCCUUCCUUAGAGAUGUGAGGUAACAAAGCAGCUGCUGCAGAUGUGGGGACCUACCCAGAGCAAGACCUCACCUCUCAGGGUGAGGGAGGGGAUCAUCCCCCUCUGCUCUGCCCUUGCCCCAGGACAAAGGCCCUCAGGCUGCCACCAGGUCCAUCUCUCAGCCAGGUGGGUUGUAAGAACCAAGACAACAUCUUGCACAGUAAGAACACUUGUGGUGGAGGCUACCAUCACCAACAGUGACCAGCUGUCCUAUCCAGAGGAUUAAUUUCCCCAAGAGAGACUGGCUACAGAUCCAGAGGCUCUGCUAUUACAUCGUGUCAAUUUUUCAUCAUCCCCGAGUCCCGUGUCAUGGAAAAUGGAUAACUUUAAGCAAGAAAUUGAUCCAAGAUGAUUGCUGCUGUCUGGCAGUGGCACAAGCUGAAGACCAAGAGAUGGAAGCGAGUGCCUGCAUCCAGCUCAGGAAGCACUGAAGGAAAUGCCUUACCAUGGGACAAGUGCCUAUGGAAAGUCCGAUGCCAACCUGUUGCUAGCACAGCAUUAAAAGCCUCCGAUAAGAAAAGGCCGGGAGGAAUCAGCUAUACAUCACCACCACCUGCUGGUACCACAGGAAGGGUCCCAGCCACCAAGGACUUGCAGGCAUGGGAUGACCCAAAAAGCAGCCGGUACCCCAAAAACCAUGCAGCAAUUCAAAGCUGUUGCAUUCUGCAGGAGCACCACUGCCUGCACCGGAGUUUGAAAGCCUGCGUGCAUCCAAAUCCUGUGGUCAGGAAGAAUCAGAGGUGGCUGGCGAGGGUGGGAUUAAAGAUUUAAGGAAAGGUAGAA